UACGUAGGGUGCGAGCGUUAAUCGGAAUUACUGGGCGUAAAGCGUGCGCAGGCGGUUGUGCAAGACAGAGGUGAAAUCCCCGGGCUUAACCUGGGAACUGCCUUUGUGACUGCAAAGCUAGAGUGUGUCAGAGGGGGGUAGAAUUCCACGUGUAGCAGUGAAAUGCGUAGAGAUGUGGAGGAAUACCGAUGGCGAAGGCAGCCCCCUGGGAUAACACUGACGCUCAUGCACGAAAGCGUGGGGAGCAAACAGG
rnacentral:rRNA from 1 species